rnacentral:rRNA from 1 species
GGGAGGUAGUGACAAUAAAUAACAAUACAGGGUUCUUUGAAUCUUGUAAUUGGAAUGAGUACAAUUUAAAUCUCUUAACGAGGAACGAUUGGAGGGCAAGUCUGGUGCCAGCAGCCGCGGUAAUUCCAGCUCCAAUAGCGUAUAUUAAAGUUGUUGCAGUUAAAAAGCUCGUAGUUGAAUUUCGGGGUCAGCAGGUUGGUCGUGCCACUGGUAUGCACUGAUUUCGCUGAUUCCUCCUUUCUGAAGAACUGUAAUGUCAUUAAUUUGGUGUUGCAAGGAAACAGGACUGUUACUUUGAAAAAAUUAGAGUGUUUAAAGCAGGCUAACGCUUGAAUACAUUAGCAUGGAAUAAUGAAAUAGGACGUUCGAUCCUAUUUUGUUGGUUUCUAGGAUUGACGUAAUGAUUAAUAGGGAUAGUUGGG